UACGUAGGGUGCGAGCGUUAAUCGGAAUUACUGGGCGUAAAGCGCGCGUAGGUGGUUUGUUAAGUUGGAUGUGAAAUCCCCGGGCUCAACCUGGGAACUGCAUUCAAAACUGACAAGCUAGAGUAUGGUAGAGGGUGGUGGAAUUUCCUGUGUAGCGGUGAAAUGCGUAGAUAUAGGAAGGAACACCAGUGGCGAAGGCGGCCACCUGGACAGUAACUGACGCUGAGGCGCGAAAGCGUGGGUAGCAAACAGG
rnacentral:rRNA from 1 species